rnacentral:rRNA from 1 species
CACGUAGGGCGCAAGCGUUGUCCGGAAUUAUUGGGCGUAAAGAGCUCGUAGGCGGUCUGUCACGUCUGCUGUGAAAAGCUGGGGCUUAACCCUGGCCUUGCAGUGGAUACGGGCAGACUAGAGGUAGGUAGGGGAGAAUGGAAUUCCCGGUGUAGCGGUGAAAUGCGCAGAUAUCAGGAGGAACACCCGUGGCGAAAGCGGCUCUCUGGGACGGUACUGACGCUGAGACGCGAAAGCGUGGGGAGCAAACAGG